rnacentral:lncRNA from 1 species
AUGCUUAUUGUGAAUAGAGAAUCAAGACUGUUUCCAUCAUCAAUGUGUCCUGGGUUUAUCUGGAAGGAGCUGCUGACUUUGACAAAACUGUCCUCUGCCGAUUACCUACACUCAAAAAAAUUUCCUCCCCCAAAAUUCUGUGUUGUUUAAAUGACAUCUUCUGAGAGCCUAGUCUAAUGCCUCAAACAUAGAAGGUACUCAAAAUUCAUCUGGGGAAGAGAACUCAGUCACUUAUUAUCAGAAUAUUAAAGGUAAUACACAAAGGUUGUGUGUGAACUGGGCCCCUCAAGAUCAAUAGAAUUAGUCCAAGGGUAGACGAUGACUUCAUAGUUAUUUGUGAACAGGAAGUAAAUAAUAUAUUAAUCAAUGUACUCCAGCUAAAAAGAACCAACAUAUAAUGGGAUGUACUAUAAUGCAUUGAAUCAGACAAUUACGGAAGCUGAGAAGUCCCACAAGCUAGAGACUCAGGAAAGCUAGUGGUGCUGUCAACAGCUAAUGGUGUCGAUCCUAGCCCCAGUCUGAAGACCUGAGAACCAGCAGUGCUGAAAGUGGUAGACGAAUUCCAAGUUCAGUCAGGCAGAGAAAGAGUUCAACCUUCUCCCACCUUUGGGUUGUAUGUAGGUAUUCAGUGGAUUGAGUGAUGCACUCCCACCUGGGGAAGACAGUCGGACUUACUCAACCCACUAGCUCAAGUGCUUGGGCCUUCCAGAAACACACACAGAGAAGUAACAUUUAGCCAGCUAUCUAUGACCCAGUCAAGUUGGCCCAUAAAAUUAACCACCACAAAUGUGAGGAUUAAAAAAGGAUAAAUCCUAAGUGGUUCUUUGGGACUGUACUAGAAUGAUCCACAAGAAAGAGGAUAGAAUAAGUUAAGAUGGCUAUGGUUGGAAGCAUAGUCCCCACUGUCUCAGGAUUGGAUAAUAAACCAGAGUGCUAAUUAAACCA